rnacentral:rRNA from 1 species
UAUUAUAUUUAAUAUUAAGUUUAUAAUUUACUAAGGUAGUAAUAGAUAUGUUCUUGAAACCUAAAGAAUUUGGCGGUAUUUUAGUCUUUUCAGAGGAAUCUGUCCUGUAAUUGAUAAUACACGAUUUAUUUUACUUAAUUUUGUUAUCAGUUUGUAUACCGCCGUCAUAAGAUUAUUUUUAUUAUUGAGAAUUAAAUUUUCUUUUUUUUAUAUUAAAGUGAAUGUCAGGUCAAGGUGCAGCUUAUAAUUGAGUGGGAGAUGGAUUACAAUAGUUAUAAUUUAUUAUGGAGAAUUAUUUUAAGUUAAUUUGAAGGUGGAUUUGAUUGUAAAUUUAUUUUUAAUUUUUAUUUUGAUUUAAGCUCUAAAAUGUGUACAUAUCGCCCGUCGCUCUCUUAUUUAUAUGAG